rnacentral:rRNA from 1 species
CAGUCGCCGCGGUAAUACGUAGGUGGCAAGCGUUGUCCGGAAUUAUUGGGCGUAAAGGGCUCGCAGGCGGUUUCUUAAGUCUGAUGUGAAAGCCCCCGGCUCAACCGGGGAGGGUCAUUGGAAACUGGGAAACUUGAGUGCAGAAGAGGAGAGUGGAAUUCCACGUGUAGCGGUGAAAUGCGUAGAGAUGUGGAGGAACACCAGUGGCGAAGGCGACUCUCUGGUCUGUAACUGACGCUGAGGAGCGAAAGCGUGGGGAGCGGACAGGAUUAGAUACCCCCGUAGUCCCUGUCUCUUAUAA